GCACACUGCUCUGGGUACAGGGGCUCUUGAGUGAGCAGGGCAGGCCUCAGCUACAGGCUCUGCACAGGUGAACCUUGUCUUCCAGUGGGGGAGACAGGUGGUACUGUAACUCACCAGCUGUGUGACUUUUGGCAAUCUGCUUAACCUCUCCAUGCUUCAGUUGCUUUCAUUUUAAAGUGUGGAUGGACAAGUUUCAGUGUCAGAGUAGUGAGGACUGAAUGAUUUCAUAUUUAUAAAGCUGACAACAGUGCCUGAUGGCAGAAUAUGUACCAUAAGCAUUUGUUAAAGAAGUAGAUGCACAAAUGAAGAUAAUUCUGGAGUGGUGAAUGCUACAUAAAGAAAACAAAAAGUAAAGAUAAAGAGUAGUUACCAGGGAGGCAGGGAAGGAGGGCCCAGCAGUUGUUGCUUAGUAAAAGCCCCAAGCCAGGGACAGAGUUCAAGACAGGGCAAUAGGAACUGCAAAGGCCCUGAGGCUGAAACAAACCUGGAAUUUUCCAGGAACCCAAGGAAGGCUUUUCUCUGCUCUCGUAUCCUUUGUCUGUAAAUAGAGAAGACAAGCCAAUGGUUUCCCAAGGUCACAAUAAGAAUUAAACAAAAUUAACCCAUGCUUGUUUUCUCAGACCUGAAACAUAAAACUUUGAGAGCCCUCUUUCAGAAAAGAAAAAUAAAAUACAGUGUAAAAAAAAAAAAGUAUAGAACUUUAGAAGGGGUGCAAAUGAGGGACCCUGAGGUCCUUAUGCAGUGUCAUGGUAAAGCCAUUCUGAACAUUAACAUUUCCACCAGUUCAGGCUUCAAAUUUCUUAGUGAACUCAGCUCUCCCCCAGGGUCCAGGAGGCAGUGAUGGGGGCCAGCUGGCCAGGGUUCCCUUCCCCAGGUCCCUGGAAAUCAAGCAGAAGCUCCACCGCAGCAGGCGUCCUGGCCCUUGACGACGAUGCCCGAUGCUUCAGUGACUCAUGCUGCUAUUUUUGGUGCUGCUGCUCUCAAGGUGGGGAGCAAGAUGGCAAGGGCUGAAUCUGGAGUCAACGCUGAGGCUGACUUGCCUGGUGGUGCUGGGGUUAAGACACCACACUUUCACCGCAGCUCAAGUUGGUUUCAUCCCUGGUUGCAAACCUAAGAUACCACAUACCAUGAGGCGCAGCCAACAAAAAAGCUCUACCAAUAUCAGGAAAAGCAGCUGGAGGACAGGAAGCUAGGCCUGGGAGCGAGGAGAGGGGCGGGGCAGGGCUUGGCUCAGAACUCU
ensembl:lncRNA